rnacentral:tRNA from 1 species
GGUAAAAUGGCCGAGUGUUUAGGCGGUGAGCUGUAGUCUCACAAAGAGAGGUUUGAUUCCUUUUUUUACCA